AAACCAGAGUAUCCAACAAGCUGAUAGGAAGAUGUCUUCAGGAAAUGCUAAAAUUGGGCACCCUGCCCCCAACUUCAAAGCCACAGCUGUUAUGCCAGAUGGUCAGUUUAAAGAUACCAGCCUGUUUGACUACAAAGGAAAAUAUGUUGUGUUCUUCUUUUACCCUCUUUGACUUCACCUUUGUGUGCCCCACGGAGAUCAUUGCUUUCAGUGAUAGGGCAGAAGAAUUUAAGAAACUCAACUGCCAGGUGAUUGGUACUUCUGUGGAUUCUCUCUUCUGUCACCUGGCAUGGAUCAACACACCUAAGAAACAAGGAGGACUGGGACCCAUGAACAUUCCUUUGAUAUCAGACCCAAAGCGCACCAUUGCUCAGGAUUAUGGGGUCUUAAAGACUGAUGAAGGCAUCUCAUUCAGGGGCCUCUUUAUCAUUGAUGAUAAGGGUAUUCUUCGGCAGAUCACUGUAAGUGACCUCCCUGUUGGCCGCUCUGUGGAUGAGACUUUGGGACUAGUUCAGGCCUUCCAGUUCACUGACAAACAUGGGGAAGUGUGCCCAGCUGGCUGGAAACCUGGCAGUGAUACCAUCAAGCCUGAUGUCCAAAAGAUCAAAGAAUAUUUCUCCAAACAGAAGUGAGCGGGCUGUUUAUACCAGGCUUGCAGUGGGCAGCCAUGAGAACAAAACCUCUUUUGUAUUUUUUUCCCCCAUGAGUAAAACACAAGACUUCAAAAAAAAAAAAAA